UGCCAGCAGCCGCGGUAACACGGGGGGCGCAAGCGUUAUUCGGAAUCAUUGGGCGUAAAGUGUGCGUAGGCGGCUUAAUAAGUUGGUUGUGAAAGCCCAGGGCUCAACCCUGGAAUUGCAGUCAAAACUGUUAGGCUAGAGUAAGGCGGGGGACAGUGGAAUUCCUAGUGUAGGGGUGAAAUCCGUAGAUAUUAGGAGGAACAUCAGUGGCGAAGGCGGUCUUCUAGUUUAUUCCUGACGCUGAGGCGCGAAAGCAAGGGGAGCAAACAGGAUUAGAUA
rnacentral:rRNA from 1 species